ACUCUCUCUCCCUCUUCAUCUCUCUCUCUCUCCUUCAUCUCUUUCUUUUUCUCCACCUCUUUCUCAAUUACCCCCCUCUCUCUCUCUUUUAGGCAACCAUGUUUUUAUGGCAGGAGUCAACCAAAUAAAAGCAGCCCCACCAAUCUGUGGGGGAGAAAAGCCGCUGGUUCAAUGAAGUGAUCUAUUCAACUCAGUGUUUCUCUCUCUUGCUCUCUUCAUUAAUUCCAUACUGUCCUGCCUUUUCAUCCUUUCUGUCUUUUGUUUUCUGUCUCUCUUACUUUUUAUUCCCCUCCUUCUUUCUCUGGCUGGCUGAGCUCUGACAAGGGGAUAGAAUCAAGAGUUUGGGAGAGGAGAGGGACAUUUGGGAGCGAGAUGGCGAGUGGGACGGUGGCGUUGUUCCUGUAUGGAUUCCUGCUCCUGUCUCUGUGGAAACCUUCACUGCAAGGAGGUGUAUACAUACCUGCUGGUGUAGGUGAAGCUGGGGCUGGAUUAGGAGCUGGAGCAGGAGUCAGAGCUGGAUUUGGUCCAGGUGGAGCUGGCACCAGUUUUGGGCCUGGUGGUGUAGGCACUGGAUAUGGGCCAGGUGGCGGAGCCGGAGUUGGACCAGGAGGUGUAGGUGGAGCUGGGGCUGGUCCAGGAGGUGCAGGCUUUGGCCCUGGAGCCGGUGGAGGUUACACCAAGCCAGGGAAGACGGGAGCUGGCUAUGGUGGUCAGGUUGUAGGCCAAGGCCAAGGCCAAGGAGGACUGGGGACUGGAGGUCUGGGGGAAGGAAGAGUUAGACCAGAAGGAGCUGGGGCCGGACCAGGAGGUUAUGGACAUGGCGGUGGUUUAGGAGCUGGAGGCCUUGGAGCAGGAGCUGGCAAUGGAGGUUGGGGUCCUGGAGGACAGGGGGCUGGACUAGGAGCUGGAGGUCUGGGAGGAGGAGGUCUUAGACCAGGAGCCAGACCAGGAGGUUAUGGACCAGGUGGUUAUGGGCCUGGUGCUGAUCUUAGUCUGGGCGGAGCUGUAGCUGGAGGUCUUGGUGGUGGUUACGGACUUGGCGGGGGUCUAGGUGCCGGAGGCCUUGGAGCAGGAGCUGGAGGAAAGCCAGAGAAGGCAGGAGCUGGCUACGGUGGUAGAGAUCCAGGAGGACAGGGGGCUGGACUGGGUGUUGGAGGUUUUGGACCAGGUGGCUAUGGACCAGGUGGAGCUGGUGCUGGACCAGGUGGCUAUGGGCUUGGUGUUGGUCUUGGUCCUGGGGGAGCUGGUCCUGGAGUUUUUGGUGGUGGUUAUGGACCCGAUGGAACAGGAGCUGGCUAUGUAGGUCGCAGUCCUGGGGGACAGGGGGCUGGAUUAGGAGCUGGAGGCUAUGGACCAGGUGGAGCUGGACCAGGAGGAUAUGGGCCUGGUUCUGGUGUUGGCCAGGGUGGAGCUGGUCCAGGUGGUUUUGGUGGUGGUCUUGGAGCUGGCGGACAAGGAGAUGCCCUUGGAGCUGGGUAUGGAGGUCUCGGAGCUGGGGGACUGGGAUCCAGAGGUACAGGUCAGGGGGCUGGAGGACUUGGAGCAGGCCAAGGUCUUGGAGCCGGCCAAGGAGAUGGAUACAGACCUGGAGGAGGCUACGGUGGUGCUGCUGGUGGUCUGUACCCUGGAGCUGGAGGGGCGGGGGCAGGCCAGAAACCUCCCAAAACAGGAGCAGGAAGCACACUAGGAGGAGAUGGAUAUGGACCUGGUGGUGCUGGUGGAUAUUGGCCUGGUGGCGCAGGUGGACAUGGGCCUGGUGGCGCAGGUGGACAUGGGCCUGGUGGCGUAGGUGGACAUGGGCCUGGUGGCGUAGGUGGACAUGGGCCUGGUGGCGCAGGAACUGGGCCUGGUGGCGCAGGAACUGGGCCUGGUGGCGCAGGAACUGGGCCUGGUGGCGCAGGAACGGGACCUGGUGGCACAGGUGGAUAUGGUCCUGGUGGCGCAGGAACUGGGCCUAGUGGCACAGGUGGAGUUGGCCUUGGUGGUUUUGGGCCUGGUGGCGCAGCAGUACCAGCUGGAGCACCAGUACUUCCACAGACUGGAGUCCCUGGGGGUGGAGCUAGAGAGAAGAGCGGUUGGAAGGCCAACAAACAAGUGCCAGGUGUUGGAGUACCUGGACUUUAUCAAGGUGGAAUAGUGCCUAGUCAAGGUUUCGGAGGGCGUGGGGUUCUACCAGGUGUUGCCACUGGAUCCGGACUUGCUCCCCAGACAGGGGCAGGUGUGCUGGGCCAGGGUGGAGUUGGAGCUGGCACUGGAGCUGGAGGUGGCCGAGGCAGUUUAAAUGGAGUGUUCCGUGGAUAUCCCCUCAUAUCACCUAAAUCUGGAGGGGCUGGAGGCAAAUCAGCUAAUUCCCAGGCCAAGCUUGCUGCUAAAUAUGCUGGAGCUGGAGGUGUACUUCGUCAAGGGGGCAUGUCGGGAGCAGGAGGAGUACCUAGCGGUGUACCUGGAGCAGGUGGGGUCCCUGGUUAUGGAGUUGGAGCUGGAGGUGUACUUCGUCAAGGGGGCAUGGCCGGAGCAGGAGGUGUACCUAGCGGCGUACCUGGAGCAGAUGGGGUCCCUGGUUAUGGAGUUGGAGCUGGUGGUGUACCUGGUUACGGAGGUGGAGCAGGAGGCAUACCUGGAUUCGGAGGCGUAGCCAGAGCAGGAGGCGUACCUGGUUACGGGGGCGGAGCCGGACCAGGAGGCGUACCUGGGGCAGGGGGCGUCCCUGGCUCAGGUGGGUAUGGAUACCCAGGGGGUUACCCAGGUGGAGGGCGGUACCCAGGGGCUGGCCUAGGUGUAGGAGGUGCCUACCCCGGAGGAGCUGGAUCUAAGGCAGCCAAAUAUGGUCAGGGUGGAGCAGGCACUGGAGCUGGUGGUGGGCUCAGCCAGGGAGUGCCUGCAUCUGGGAUUGGAACCGGAAGACUGCCUGGUGGGGCUGGAGGGGAACCAGGAGGCGGUUACAGGCCUGGCGGUAGCUUCGGUCCUGGAGGUGGAGUUGGACCAGGUGGGGCCAGUUAUGGACCAGGUGGGGCCGGCUAUGGACCAGGUGGAGCUGGACCUGGUGGCUAUGGACCAGGUAGUGCUGGAAGUUAUGGAACAGGUGGAGGGGUUGGACCAGGUGGUGCCGGGGAAGGACAUGGUGGAGCUGGCUAUGGACCAGGUGGAGGAGUUGGUGGAGUGCCUGGUGGUGGACACAGACCCGGAGGUGGUUUACCUGGUAGUGGUGCUGGUUACGGACCUGGUGCUGGUGUUGGAGGAUAUGAUGCAAAUGCUAAAGCUCGUAAAUAUGGUAUGCUAAGUGGUGUCCUUGGGACCCCAGGAGGAGGACAGGCAGCCAGCCUGGGAGGAGUACCAGGAGGGGGAGCAGGGACUGGAGUAGGCCAGGGUGGAGUGCCUGGAUCUGGGCUUGGUGGUGGUGGAGGUGUCCCUGGUGGUUAUGGUCCUGGAGCUGGAUUUGGACCUGGCCGUGGAACCGGUGGUGGUUAUGGACCAGGAGUGGGUGCUGGGACUGGACUUGGCCAGGGAGCAGGGCCUGGAGCUGGGCUUGGUGCUGGUGGAGUGCCUGGUGGUGGAUACAGACCCGGAGGUGGUUUACCUGGUAGUGGUGCUGGUUACGGACCUGGUGCUGGUGUUGGAGGAUAUCCUGCUGGGGCUAAGUCUCUGAAAUACGGUCCAGGAGGAGGUGGAGGAGCUCCGGGUGGAGGCCUUGGUGGGCGAUUCGGUGCCCCGGGAGGAGGUCUGCCAGGAGGAGGCUACGGACCAGGGGCAGGAGGCGCCUUAGGAGCAGGAGAAGCAGGAGCAGGAGGAAGAGUGCCUGGGGGUGGAUACGGGACCGGAGCUGGGCCUGGUGCAGGGUAUGGAGCAGGAACAGGGCCUGGAGCUGGGUACGGUCAGGGAGCAGGAGGAGUCCCUGGAGGAGGCUAUGAAGCUAGGGCAAGAGCAGGAGGACUACCUGGGGCCGGAUAUGGACCUGGAAGAGGAUAUGGAGCCGGAUCAAAACCUGCUAAAUAUGGACAAGUUGCUGGUGGGGCCGGUGGGGCCCUUGGAGGAGGAGCUGGACAAGGAUUCGGAGGGGUACCAGGUGGCUAUGGACCAGGUGGCUUCGGAGCUGGACCAGGUGGCUUCGGAGCCGGACCAGGUGGCUAUGGAGCCGGACCAGGUGGCUUUGGAGCCGGACCAGGUGGCGUUGGAGCCGGGGGCGGAGCAGGAUUAGGAGGGGUGCCAGGUGGGCUUCCAGGAGGGUACAGCGGUUCUCCCUGGGGGAAAAGGGGCUAUGGUACUGGAUCUGGAUUUAAGGCAGACAAAUAUGGACCAGGUGGGGCAGGAGGGGCCCUUGGUGCUGGGGCAGCUGGAGGUGCAGGGGCUGGGACAGGGACUGGGACCGGGACCAGAGCUGGGACAGGUGCUGGAGGAGGUGCAGGACCUACACCUGGCCCUGGCACAAGAGCAGGAGGAGAUGGCACUGGGACAGGAGCAGGAGGAGACAGGAUAGGCGCAGGAGGAGCAGGCACAGGAGGUGAGCCUGGUGGUGCCGGUGGGGUUCUAGAAGGAUCUGGAAGUUCUGCUGGCCCAGGAGAUGGCACCGGCGUCACAGCUGGUGCUGUUGGAGGAGGGGUGGGAGACACAGGAAUCCCUAGCAUUGGAGGAAAACCAGAUCAAUCGGGGCUCGGGGGGACAGCAAUCCCAGGUGGAAUUGCAGUGCCAGAAACUGGGGCUGGAGUUGUUCAACCCAGUGCUGGGGCUGGAGUUGAUGGGGUAGGAGUUCCCUCUGGAGGUUCGGAAACAGGCAUCGGUAUUGGUGCCGGCGGAAAACCCUCUAAAGAAAGACAAGCAGCUGAUGGUUUCAUUGUGUACAUGAUUUCACCAAAACAAUCUCCUGUAAAACGUAAAACAUGGAAUAUCAGCUAAGACUGUCUGAAUGAAAC
ensembl:lncRNA